GGGUCGCUAGCUCAGCCGGUAGAGCACCGCACUUUUAAUGCGAUGGUCAUGCGUUCGAAUCGCAUGCGACCCACCA
rnacentral:tRNA from 11 species